CUCUCUCUCUCAUUCUCUCAUUAUUCGUUCAAACAUUAUUUCGAAAACCCUAGAGAAAAAGCAUCUGCAUCCAUAGCAAGAGAAAUCAUCUGCCGCCUGUCCUUCGUCUGCAAAUCUUCGAUCUUUCAAUGCCGCUCGACAAUUAGGAUUUCUUCUUCUUCAAUGUCUCUGUUGAUCCUCCAUCUCUGUGUGUCCUUAUUUUCAUUAUAAAGUUUUUGAUGGAUUAUCCGUAUUGUUAUCGGUUCAAUCUAAAUAGAUCUGUGUUGAAGGAUGUGCGAACAAAGAUCUAGGGUUAGAUCUUGCAAAAGUUUUGGAUGAUUUUGGAUCUGUUAUUGUGUUAGGAGAUCUCGUGUUAAGGAUGAACAGGCUCAUUCUUGUCCGCCGAUUCUUUCAUCCACGUUAAUGUGUUGUAGCUGAGUAGUCAAGGAGACUUCAAAUGAUCCUUGAAAGUGGAGGCUGAUAGAUGCCAAGAUAGGACUCUUGUCCCAGAUUUUGGAUCUAGAACAAGCACUUUACUAGCUUUUGUAACAGUUGCAACAUCCGAUCUAUCUUGUGGAUAAUCCGCAAUGCCUAGAGAAAUUAGAAGUAGCUAGGAGAGUGGGUACAAGAUAGCAUCUAUGGCUGCAACACCUGAUCAAGCAGUAUAUUGUUUGAUUAACAAAAUCGCCGACCCAGUGAUUAACUUCACCUUCAAAGAUAUCUGAAUAAGAAUUGACAGUAAUUGAACAUUGUCAAGUAGGCCGAACCACAUCCGGGUCUAAGCCCCAAUGUUGAGGCGCGAUUUUCUCAUUUUUUUAACAUUUUAACUAAACUGUAGGUGCUCACAAAUGGCAUAGAGGUGGAGUUACAAAGGGAUACGCUUAGAAGGCAACGUUUCGGGGAAGAUCUUGGGCUGUUGAAUCUGAAAGACCUUGAACAACUCCUCAAGCACCAACUGGACUCAAACUUUGAGGCAAAUCUGGUCCAUAGGAGGUGGCUCAACUGUAUGAGAAAAAAACUAAAGGUUGGAUCCUAUAUCAAAGGCUCUUCAGUUUUUAGGAUUUCCUGGUGGAUAAGUCUAUUUGUGAUAGCCAUGAAGCUCAGAUUCUAAGGCUAUUGGGUGUGGAGGAGGGUAGUCCUCAAAGGAUGAUCCACCACAUAGGCGUCCACGUAAGCGGAUGUGGAGAUGAGCCUAAAGGGAUGGACCUAGAGUGUGGGGAUGGGCCUAAAGAAGAAAGAGAGAAGUGGAGCGUCGAGCUGGCAUAGUGGAAGAAUGUAAUCUACUUUUUUUACAUAGAGGAAAUAAGGUCACUUUUUAAUAUCUAACACUGCAUUGUAUUCUGUCUCUAUGUUUGAUAUAUUAUAGAGGGAGAAUUUCAUCAAAAUGUAAUGAACUUUGACAAAAAUUUUAUUGUUUGUAAUGAACUAUGUUUU
rnacentral:lncRNA from 1 species